rnacentral:lncRNA from 1 species
GAAGUACUGGAAGAAGAAUUAUGGCAGCACCGGUGGGAAUGGGACCCGCAGGGAUGCCUGUUCUGAGGAAGAGGAGUGCAUGCAAAGCCCUAAAAGGAGUGUCGUGCUUAAACAACAGCUUGAUCUGGAUAGUGAUGAAGAGGAAAUGAGAGAAUUGAUGGAGAGCUCUUUGGGGUUUUCCAGUGGAAGUGAGAAACAGAAGGUUCUGGUAAAUAAUGCCCAGUUGGAUAGAAAGGUAAAUACAAAUUUUUCUGGAUUAUGUAUUUCUAUUAAUGCUUUAGUGUAAUUGUUCUAAUUGGUUGAUUACUUUUUGUUUAGAUAACACCAGCAACUAAAUUUUAAAUUUGCAUUUGUGUCUUGCUCAUGAUAGGAUUCAGGUUCACAUCUUAACAUCUUAAAAUUACUCUAUUUUACCCACAAUGAUUCGUUCUCCCUUUAGCAAUCUACAUGUAACAAUGAAGUAACACAUAAAUCUCUUUUUAAUAUUCUUCAAAAAGAGCAAGACUCCAGUUCCAUCAGGAAAGGCUCCUCCAACUCAUAAGGAAGUUUCAUCAGCAGAGUCAUCUAAAGCAUCUUCUUUUCACAACAAAGACUCAGAGCAAAGUGUGUUUGGUACAGUUAAUUCACCAGCCCCCUCACCCACCAGCAGAAACCUGUCAGGACAUACCACAAGACCUCGAUUGCUGUCAUCUUCCAUGAAAGACAACACUGUAAAGAGUGCUCCGCCUGAAGCAGGCUACACCAAGCAAAUCCAAGAAUCCCUUGAAAGUGACAGAAGUGAAAUAAAGUCAUUAGAUGAAUUGUUUUCUGAAGGAGCUGAUGGAGAAGAUCUAUCCAGCAGCAGCUUGAAAUACUUUGGACUGAAUAUCCUGAGCCUCGAUGAUUUGGCACCAGAUAUGACCAGUAAGGCAGAAGAAUUAAAGCAGAAAGUAAGUAGAAAUUCCCCACUAGCACAUAUUCCCAGUCUGCCUUUGGUAGAGUGUGGAGGUUCUAAAAUAAAUAAUUUUACAGGAAAAAGACAUUCCAUUUACUCAAGAAUCAAAGAAAUAUGUGAAAAAAGAUACAUUGCUGGUGGAAG